AUUGAACGCUGGCGGCAGGCUUAACACAUGCAAGUCGAGCGGGGGAAGGUAGCUUGCUACCGGACCUAGCGGCGGACGGGUGAGUAAUGCUUAGGAAUCUGCCUAUUAGUGGGGGACAACAUCUCGAAAGGGAUGCUAAUACCGCAUACGUCCUACGGGAGAAAGCAGGGGAUCUUCGGACCUUGCGCUAAAAGUUGAGCCUAAGUCGGAUUAGCUAGUUGGUGGGGUAAAGGCCUACCAAGGCGACGAUCUGUAGCGGGUCUGAGAGGAUGAUCCGCCACACUGGGACUGAGACACGGCCCAGACUCCUACGGGAGGCAGCAGUGGGGAACAUUGGACAAUGGGGGGAACCCUGAUCCAGCCAUGCCGCGUGUGUGAAGAAGGCCUUAUGGUUGUAAAGCACUUUAAGCGAGGAGGAGGCUACUCUAGUUAAUACCUAGGGAUAGUGGACGUUACUCGCAGAAUAAGCACCGGCUAACUCUGUGCCAGCCGCCGCCGUAA
rnacentral:rRNA from 1 species